CUAUUACAGAGUUGCUGUUCCUUCAGGAAGACAGGAGAAAUGUCAUCUCCCAAGGAGAAGAGCUUCCAAUGAGACACAGGGAUAGCAACAUAAUCAAGAGAUCAGAAAACAGAGACCCCAAGAAAUAAAAGUCUCAGUUCUUACAACUGGAAAAUGAAAGAGCUGGCCCAGAUCUAACUGAGAGUCUCUUCCACCUCAAAGGACUCUCAGAGACCACUGAGUGCAGCCUUUGCCAGAACCAGAAUCCCUGCCAAGAAUUCUUGCCAA